rnacentral:rRNA from 1 species
GUGCCAGCAGCAGUGGUAAGACGUAAAGGGCAAGUAAUACACAUAAUUGGCAUAAAGGGUCAGUAAAACGGAUUAAAUAAAAGAUCUAGAAUAUAGAGAUAAAUUAUUUGAGGUAUAUGAGUAGCGGUUAAAUGUAUAGAUACAUAUAUUACAGCUAAUAUAAGAAAUUAAAUAAUUAAUAAUAUAUUGACGUUGAGAGACGAAACUUAAAGUAUCGAAUAGGAUUAGUUAACCUAUAAGUUUUAAGUGUAAACGAUGUAUACUGUUAGAUAAAUAAAUAAUAUAUCUAAUAAGCAAAUGCGUAAGUAUAUCGCCAGGGGAGUAUUUCAUAACCGAAGAAACCCAAAACAAUAGACAGUCUAAGAUUAUAACAGUGGAUUAUGUUAUUUAAU